AAAAACUGCGGCGUUAUUGUUCUCUGUUAGAUUUAUUAAAUACAAUUAAUGUUUUCAUUAAUAUCACCGACCCACUCAUCCAAGACGUCUCAUUCCAUACAUCUCCUAUCUCAAAUUGUUGUGGAUUUACACCUAUAAAUAAGUGAGUUCAAUUCAGUGAAGAUCAUCACUUUUUCCUUCUAAAUCAUUCCGUAGAUUUCUACAGUCUUUUUUCGAUUGUCGGCAACAGAUUAUUUUGUAUUGAUAGCUGCUUGAUUAUGAAACAAAUGUUGCUGUAGAUUUGCUUGAUAAUCAGCUAGAUUCUGUUUUCCAGUGAUUUAUUCCCACCGGAUAACCAGUCUCCGAUCUAAUCGAGGAAUAUUUCGAGACUUUGUUCUUAAUUCUCUCAUGUCUUGCGAUUGAUAGACUCUACAAUCAGGAAUAAAAUCUCUGGUCUUCGGGAUUCUAAUCCUAACCUCUCCUCUUAGUUGAUGCGAGUUUGGUACUUUACCUCCUGAUGCUUCCUGGUUUGCCAAUUUAGCAGAUGAUUUCUUUCGUGCACUCCAUCUCUCGGAUCUUCGUCAAUCUUCGACAAAACCAAAGUCUGCAUGUAUUUUCCAGAAUUGACUUUUCCUCUACUUGAUUGGGUUUUGAUGGGCCUCUUCGUGAUUCUAUCCAAUGGGAUACUAACAUGGGCAACUGGUUUCGUUGAUAUAAAACUCUGGGCUAUUAUAAUACUAGGAUUUUUAUUUGAAGUCUCAAUCGAAUCUGCCCCAUUGGGGAUGUAAUAUUUUACACUUCUUUGUUAUAAUUGAAUAUCAGCUCUCAAAUAAAUAAAUAAACUGAAGAGAUAAAGA
rnacentral:lncRNA from 1 species